GUUUCCUUUCCCGGGGAGUAAAUGAGCCAUGAGGUCCCCGGCAGAGGCCUUGGCAGGAUGGUUUCACUGCAGGGCCGGGGCAAGACAGCACUGAAGAUAGAAGUGACAAUGACAGGCGGCCCGACAGACACUACCCAACCCAGGGCCCGGCCCGGAGCAAGGGGACAGAGUGGUCCCAUCUCAGAGGCAGGAGACGCUGGGCCGCCAAGCUGACCUCCAGGUCCUCCCUCUGGUGGCAGGUGGCGUCCCGCCCCGCCCGGCCCUGCGGAGCCCUGAGGACGCUGCGAGUUGAGCACCUCUCCCUGCAGAAUGAGAGGACUCAGGGCCCUGGACUCCCAUUCCAGUGCUCUUGCUGCAGACUCUGGAGCAGUGGCUGCCUGUGCACGGUCUGUGCCCUCGCGGGGCUGGAGGUGAGUCAGGAAUAGUGGCCGCUGCAGAUGGGAGAUCAGGUGGACCAGGCCGCGUGUGGCCGC
rnacentral:lncRNA from 1 species